CCUAUUUUUUUAAAAACCAGCUUGAAGCUCAUUAAGGUUAGGAAUGUGAGUGAGGCGCUCUUGUGAAAUAUGAAAAGUGGGGCGCCAGGCGGGGGAAGAAAAGAGAAAUGUGGAAGUGUGUGAAAAGGUGGGAUGAAGGCACGGUCUAGGAGAGGGCACAAGCCCUGUCAUUUUGGCUGCUACGCUUGGGGCUUCUAUUCCCUAAAGUGUGACUAUCAGAAGGAGUCCACAUUUUUCAAUAGAGCAGCAUGACAUUAAGCGGAUGGUUCCUGAACAGUGGCACUCCAGACUACAGGGUCCCCGCAGAGCUUCCCUGCAGCUUCCCUUGGCUGAGCUUGAAGAGGAUCAGGGUCUCACUUAAACAAGAGUAAGUGGCAGCUUUGAAGAUUCUUUUCCCCAAAUGCUUUUUUUUUUUUAAGUGAAUUAUUUUACUCUAACAUUGUGGACAUAAAGAAAGUGCACACAUCAAUCAUAUAGCUCAAUGAUUUUUAUAAGCUGGACACACCUGCAUAACCAACACCUAGAUCAAGACACAGAAUAUCACCAGCAUCCCAGAACUCCUCACCUUUACCCUGUGCGUUCUUAAUUACCAGACCUUCUGGAGCUAUUACACAGACUUUGUCCCAGUGUGUUAACUUAGAACUUUAUAUAAAAGACUGACUUGAAUAGCAUGUACUAUUUUGUAUUUUGCUUCCUUCUGUCGACAUUGUGAAAUUAAUCCACUUUGCUUUGUAUAGUUGUAGUUUCUUCAUCUUUGUUGCUUAUAGUGUGCCGUGGUCUGAAUACACUGCAAUUUAUUUCUCCACCCUACUGUUAAAAGACACCUGAGUUCUUUUCAAUUUGGGGUUAUUACAAAUGCUGCUACAGUAACUAUUCCUAUGCACAUUUCCGAUAUAUGCACUCCUGCUGGAUAGAUACCAAGGAAUGGAAUUGUAGUGUCACAGGUUUUGCUUAUCAUCAGGGAGAAUAAAUAUUGCUCAACAGUUUCCAACUUGGUUGCUUCUAUUUGCAUUCCCACCUGCAGUACAUAAAAGUUCAAACUGUGCUGCAUCCUCACCAGGAUUUGGUAUUGUCAGGCUUUUAAAUAUCAGUAAUUCUGGUAAGUGGGCAGAGAUAUCAUAUUUUAAUUUUACUUUGCAUAUCUC
rnacentral:lncRNA from 1 species